rnacentral:rRNA from 1 species
AACGAACGCUGGCGGCAGGCUUAACACAUGCAAGUCGAACGCCCCGCAAGGGGAGUGGCAGACGGGUGAGUAACGCGUGGGAAUCUACCCAGUUCUACGGAAUAACCCAGGGAAACUUGGACUAAUACCGUAUACGCCCUACGGGGGAAAGAUUUAUCGGAAUUGGAUGAGCCCGCGUUGGAUUAGCUAGUUGGUGGGGUAAUGGCCUACCAAGGCGACGAUCCAUAGCUGGUCUGAGAGGAUGAUCAGCCACACUGGGACUGAGACCCGGCCAGUAGUCCUACAGGAGGCAGCAGUGGGGAAUAUUGGACAAUGGGCGCAAGCCUGAUCCAGCCAUGCCGCGUGAGUGAUGAAGGCCUUAGGGUUGUAAAGCUCUUUCAGUGGGGACGAUAAUGACGGUACCCACAGAAGAAGCCCCGGCUAACUUCGUGCCAGCCGCCGCCGUAAAAC